rnacentral:rRNA from 1 species
GAUGAACGCUAGCGACAGGCUUAACACAUGCAAGUCGAGGGGCAGCGAGGGAGUGCUUGCACUUCUGUCGGCGACCGGCGCACGGGUGAGUAACACGUAUGCAACCUGCCCUUGUCAGGGGGAUAAGCGAGGGAAACCUCGUCUAAUACCGCAUAUAUGGUUUUGAGGCAUCUCUUAAUCAGGAAAGAAUUAUCGGACAAGGAUGGGCAUGCGGGACAUUAGGUAGUUGGGGGUGUAACGGACCACCAAGCCGACGAUGUCUAGGGGUUCUGAGAGGAAGGUCCCCCACACUGGUACUGAGACACGGACCAGACUCCUACGGGAGCAGCAGUGAGGAAUAUUGGUCAAUGGGCGAGAGCCUGAACCAGCCAAGUCGCGUGAGGGAAGACGGUACUAAGUAUUGUAAACCUCUUUUGUCAGGGAACAAAGAGACCACGUGUGGUAAGAUGAGUGUACCUGAAGAAAAAGCAUCGGCUAAACUCCGUGCCAGCAGCCG